AGAGUUUGAUCAUGGCUCAGGAUGAACGCUAGCGGCAGGCCUAAUACAUGCAAGUUGAACGGUAGAUUACUUUCGGGUAGUUGAGAGUGGCGAACGGGUGCGUAACGCGUAUGCAACCUACCCUAUACAGGGGGAUAGCCCGGAGAAAUCUGGAUUAAUACCCCAUAGUACUAUGAUGAGGCAUUUUGUUAUAGUUAAAGAUUCAUCGGUAUAGGAUGGGCAUGCGUCUGAUUAGCUAGUUGGCGGUGUAACGGACCACCAAGGCUACGAUCAGUAGGGGUUCUGAGAGGAAGGUCCCCCACACUGGCACUGAGAUACGGGCCAGACUCCUACGGGAGGCAGCAGUAGGGAAUAUUGGGCAAUGGACGAGAGUCUGACCCAGCCAUGCCGCGUGCAGGAAGACGGCGUUCUGCGUUGUAAACUGCUUUUAUCUGGGAAGAAAAAGCCCCUGCGGGGGAAAUUGCCGGUACCAGAUGAAUAAGCACCGGCUAACUCCGUGCCAGCAGCCGCGGUAAUACGGAGGGUGCAAGCGUUGUCCGGAUUUAUUGGGUUUAAAGGGUGCGUAGGCGGCUAUUUAAGUCAGUGGUGAAAGACUCCGGCUCAACCGGAGCAGUGCCAUUGAUACUGGAUAGCUUGAGUAUUGGAGGGGUACAUGGAAUUGAUGGUGUAGCGGUGAAAUGCAUAGAUACCAUCAGGAACACCGAUAGCGAAGGCAUUGUACUGGCCAAUAACUGACGCUGAUGCACGAAAGCAUGGGUAGCGAACAGGAUUAGAUACCCUGGUAGUCCAUGCCGUAAACGAUGAUUACUCGCUGUUAUGGCUUUAUGUUGUAGCGGCCAGGCGAAAGCGUUAAGUAUCCCCUGGA
rnacentral:rRNA from 1 species